rnacentral:ncRNA from 20 species
GCGGCUGUACGCAACUGGCGAUAGGCAAUGGGCUGCCUGCGAGGGGUCUUCCCUCCGGGCAACCGUGCUGAUGUGGCAUGGAUGGCGGCAGGCACACAGGCCUUGCCCCACUCCAUCAUCAACCACUUGGAAGCGUACCGUCGGCUGUUCUGGAUGCCGGUUUGACCCGGACAGACCAGAAAGAGGCAUGGCGCACCAUCAUCGCUCGCCUGGGUAGCCCCG